UGUGAAGAUGCCCACCACCCAGUUAAUGCUCCUGUUUCCCAGCAGGGCCAUGUCCAUUCCAGUGGCGGCACUUUUCUUCUGUUUCCUUUUGGACUUGAAAGAAGCCCAGAUGCCAGUCCCCAGGACCAGCAGAACCUUAGUGGUUUGGUCACUGCCAGCUCUACAAACGCCAGAGACAUUGAGGACAUUAUAAAGAUAUCACAAACCAGAGAUGGGGACUCAAGGUGGAUUGACACUUUACAUGACACUCGAAACGGUAUGAUGGUUUGAAAUGAUUAUUAUGUUAUUUCAUCAUUUAUUUCAUUUUAUUGAUACACUAACAUUAAGGAGAUGUCUCGCAAGCUGCAUGUCCUGACCUUCCUGGUUAUGAUUUGUAACUUGACUGACCUUACCUUCUGACGUGCCAGUGACCGGCUCAGUAUUUUGGAGAAGAAGAGCGACUUUGGACAACCUUCAACAGGAGAGUUAAAAACAUCCUGCACCCUUCAGAUGGACUGACAUAAAAGCUGGUUUUAUGUUUACUUGACACACAUACAGAAAUUUUAAACUAUGAGCAAGACUCAAUGCUACAGUGGAGGUGAUAGAGAAGAAAUCAGGUGAGAACAUUUGAUGCACUUUUAGUGGAAAACUUCAGCUUCUUUGCUUCACCAAAGAAGCAUGUUAUAAUAACCAGUCUUCUCAGCCUGUUUUAUUUGAAUUCAUGCACCUAACCUGGUUUCCAAAAUUACUGCUGGCUGCAAGUCAACAAUUCACAGCUGCAAACUCAUUGCCCGUGGGGCUGCAGCUUUCUUUGCCCUUUGCCUUCAGAUGGCUGCAUGGAUUUAAUGUAACUUCAUUUACAGAUCAGUAUAGACUGAUUUACUAAAGCUUCUGCUGUGACUGUUUCUGAUUUAAAUGUAUCUACCGGUUGGAAUGAUUUGACUGAUGGGCAACACACAUUUCAGUAUCAGAACAACACCAACCUCUUGAAGCAUUGCUUACAGAGACUGAGUCACUACCACAACAUUAGUGCUCAGAGUUGUUAUCUUUUCAUACUUCUUUCAAAAACAGAACUUUGUGUUUUUGUCAGUGGAUGCCCUGCAAACUCCACACACUGGAAACGUUAAGUCACCAAACUUCAAGUCAGAGUCCAGUUUUGAGUUCCCAGUGUUUGAGUCAAGUCCAAGUCGAGUCCACUACUGCUCCGAGUCAAGUUCAAUCCCAAUUUGUCAUUGUGUAAUUAUUAUAUAAUAUUGAACUUAACUUAGAUAAAUGACUAAAUGACUAACUUAGAUAAAAAUCUGAAGACUUGUCUCCGAUUUACAAGUUCGAAUGCAGUUAAUGCACAAGUCCAAGUCAACAGUGCUCAAGUCCAAGUCAAGUCACAAAUCCUUAAAUUAAGUACAAGUAGGUGAGGUAAACAGUGCAAAUGGUCAGCAGGUGGAUAAUGACAUGAGCACAGGUCAGUGCCUGUACUGAAGUAACUAAAGUGCAGAGCAGGAUGUUAGUCAGUUGGUGUUCAGUAGUCCAACAGCAGAGGGGAAGAAGCUGUUCUUGUGGCUACUACCUUAUUUGUCAUCGGGGGAGUCGGCAUCCAAUGCAGUCAUGUUAGAAAAACUUCCUGCAUGGCCAGAAAGUCUGAUUCGACUGAGCCGUUCAAAAAUUUCUUCUAAAUUGACUCUGUUGGCUCCCUGAGCCCCCUGAUGAUGCAUAAGUUAGCAGCCACUGCUAAUCCAUGCAGUUUAUGCUAGUUGUUGCAAUGGUUUCUUGCUAGCAAGUACUUAGAACAAAUGGAGUAAGUUUUAAGGACAAUGAAUUGCACAAUUUAAAGCUUGAAUUACCUUGGUUAUGAGCAGUAAUAUUACAUUACGUUUUUUUAAUACCCCUAUUAACUUUAUUUAUCCCAAAGAUAUGACAUCACAUACCAAUCUAAAUCUUUAGUUGCAAGUGAAACGCCAUUUGUUAUGUGUUUUAUAGCAAUAGGGAUAUUGUCUGCACCCUUAGUUGUGUGGACUCGGACUUGCAGGAACCAAGAGCACUUUGGAGUUGGGUUUCGCAGGUAAAUUCUUGGUGAUACUGACUCCAGUUACUCCAGGACUCGAGUAAUUCAGAUCAGUACACUGAGUGAUUCAGAAGGAAGGAAGUGAUUCAUGUCUGUACAUGGAGUCAGAUUUGCCAUGAUAUGAGCAUCGGGGUGUGGAAUGAAGAUGUUGCAUAACCUUCCUUGGCUUUUUCCACUCUCCCAUUCUGCAGUACUUUUCCAUUACAAACAAAUACAACAGUUUUGCUUCAUGUUUACAACAUGUUAAUUUGAUCAGAGGUUUUGUUUACACCGCAGCAACUCAUCUUUACUGGUGACAGUGUUGUGUAUUUAUUUGGACAGUACAGUAUGUAUUUAAGUAUAGUAUAAAUAACAACAAUUUGACGCAAAUGACUCACAUAAAUAAAAAACUCAUACACUCAAGCACAUUAAAUCAACAUGAGCGGCAUAAAUAUGUGUGCAGAGGUAAUAAAGCACAAGGGGCCACAAUAAAGAUUGGACUGAACUGACAGUGACGAGUACAAAAAGUGGUUUGGCUGGAUGAAGGGCUCCCUGAUUGUUUUCAGGGUCAGCAUGCUGGUUUUAUAUAUAUGACACAAAUGACAAAUGCUUGUCAAAUCUUGAGCAAUGAUUUUUAAUGCUGCUGCCACUACUGUAGUUCAGUAAGCUCUUUCUUGUCAUUGGGUGAGCAGUCACCAUACCACACUGUGACACGACAAUCUGUGUCACAGCACUGUAAAAAUCACACAUCCCUUCCUCUGAUACCUUAAACCUCCUGAGAUGGUGCAGAAAGAACAAUUGCUGUCAUGGUUUCUGGACAGUAGGGUUUGCACUGACAGUCCAUUUAAGAGAGGAAGAAACUAUGGUCCCCAGGUAUCUGUCUAAUCAUACUGAACCAAGCACUGAGACUCAAUGUUAGUGUUGAGUGAGUACAGAAGAGGCAACACAGGCCUUAACUUUACUGGAAGUGGUAUAUUGGU